GAUAUCGAUUUGGUCGAGGAUAUAAUUAUAACGCCAUUCUCAAGACAAACUUUUCAAGAAAAGUUAGACAUUGUCAGGAGAGGUAGAUGCCGACGCUACAAAGCCUGUCACAGGCGGGAAAGGGGUUCGUUCUCCACUUUCAAUUAUGGGCGCUAUCAAUGACUCACAGGCUCCGAGAAGCACUGCAAACUGUACUGCUGGGAAUGCCUAUUAUUUGCAAGUGAUCGAUUUGGUGUUUGGAGCCACACUGGCUUUGCAAACCUGAGUUGUCUAACCAAGGCAGCAACGAGACACCAAAGUACGGCUGGGCACUUACAAACAAUGGUGCUUUUGAAAACUUUUGGGGACACCCGAGUGGAUCUACAGCUCAACGAACAAGCGUGCAGGGCAACGAAGCUGCACAAUGAAAAGUUCCGCACAGGCCCGUUGGCCCAUCAGGACUGAGAUCUCCCAGCAGGUGAAUGAGAAAAGAGCAGAGCUCCACCACUGAUACAGAGUCAGUCCAGAGGAAGAACUCUUACUCUCUAAAAGUAAUCCCUGUCUACUAUGCCUCCUAAACAGUCUGUAGCCUAGGAACAUCACCAGACAGAGACACUGACCACUGAUCAGCCUGAUGCCUGAUGUCCAUGGACUAAUUGCACACUAUAGGACCGACCUUAACAGUGGUGUGCUGGCUUGGAUAUUUUAUUUCCAUAUUGUCCUUUCCAGCAUGGUUCCAGAAACUAUGGUGGAUACAUAUCCAGGCCAGACCAGUCCAGCUCUAUUGUGUGAAUCAAACACAAGAUUUAGUUUUGGAGAAAUAAGACAUCAGAGAUGCCCACUAACGUCUGUUUUAGCCAUAGAGGUAGAAUGACUGGAGCAAUGCCCCUCAGACCAUAGCAAUGUGACAGGAUCACUCACGGGAACACUCAACAUGGCCGCCGGUCCAUCCAUCACAGAACAUUGACUGGAAUGGGAUCCUCAUUGUAGAAUCUAUAUUUCUAUGGUUUUAGCUGUGUUUGGCUCGACCAUUAAAACAAAAAUCUUUUUUACAUUUUUUAUCCUGGAUAAAAUUGAGGGAAAAAGAAUAAUGAAUCCUGGGUUUGGACUAAUUUCCAUUGAAAUAAGAGUGAUUGCAUGCGUCUGUUGUUUACAAUGGCUAUAUCAUGUUUAACUAGCCAUCUUUAUUUGAAAAAGAAACAAGCUGUUCAUUAAUGAUGGUGUUUCUCAAUAGGUCCCAACAGGUUUAUCAUAACAGGUUAUAACUGCUCAAUUAGACAUGUUUGAUCACAAUAAAAUGGUACUUGUUUAGAAAUGGAGGUAAACUCCAAACCUGAAGAAGUAAUCAGGAACGAACUUCAGUUGUAACGAGAACGUAAUCAUAACCAACUGCAACGUUUUCCUUUUCCUUCAGUUACAGACAAGACCGACACCUCCGUUCACGUGUGUAUUCAUAUACACAUUCACACAAAUAAAACACUAUCAUCGAUGUAUACAAUUAAUGUCCUCUAGAUUAUAUCACAGACUUAUAUGAACGUUAUGGUAUUUUAGUGGUAUUGGUGCAUAAAUCCAUUUGGUUCUGUUUCCGAGCUGAAUCCUAACUUGAAAUCUGGGCACACAAGAUGUUUAACUUUUUUUCCCCAGACCUGUGAUUAAGUACAUGGAUGUAGUAUGCUGUGUAGGAGAAUGGACAAGAUGGGACAAACAUCGGAGGUGGUACCCUAUUUCCUAUAUAGUGCACUACCUUUGGCUCUAAAGGGAAUUGGGAUGUGGCCCAGGUCAGGAGUGUACUAGUGUGGUCAGGUCCAGGUUCAUGUUGUAGAUGAUAGAGAACUCUCUAGAGAGGAGCUGGUGGAGAGCCAUGCCGUCGUGGUAGUAGACCCAACGCUCUCCUGUCCAGUCGUAACGCUUCGGACCACUGGAGGACAGAGAGAGGCACAGAGAGGGGGACAUCAGGCUAGGGUUGAAAACACCUAAAUCACUGAAAAACACCUAAAUAGCUAUGAACAACACCUAAAUAGCGAUGAACAACACCUAAAUAGCGAUGAACAACACCUAAAUAGCUAUGAACAACACCUAAAUAGCUAUGAAAAACACCUAAAUAGCGAUGAACUGACUGGUCAAACAUUUACUAGCACAUAAAUGUCUGAACUAUUUUCAAUCAAAUGUACAUACAUGUAUGUAAUAUAUUAUACUGAACAAAAAUAUAAAAUGCAACAUGCUACAAUUUUAAAGAUUUUGCUGAGUUACAGUUUAUAUAAGGAAAUCAGUAAAUUGAAAUAAAUUCAUUAGGUCCUAAUCUAUGGAUUUCACAUGACUGGGAAUACAGAUAUGCAUCUGUUGGUCACCCUUAAAUGGGCCUCCGAAUCUCGUCACGGCAGGUCUGUGCAUUCAAAUUGCCAUCGAUAAAAUGCAAUUGUGUUUUUUUUGUCCAUAGCUUAUACCUGCCCAUACCAUAACCUCACCAUAUUGCAAACUGUUCACAAGAGCUCGCCCACACGACGCCAUACACAUGGUCUGCGGUUGGGAGGCCGGUUGGACAUGCUGCCAAAUUCUCAAAAACGACGUUGAAUGCAGCUUAUGAUAGAGAAAGGAAUAUUCAGUUCUCUCUAGCAACAGCUCUGGUGGACAUUCCAGCAUGCCAAUUGCACGCUCUCUAAAAACUUGACAGCUGUGGCAUUGUGUUGGGUGACAAAGCUGCACAUUUUAGAGUGGCCUUAUUGUCCCCAGCACAAGGUGUACCUGUGUAAUGAUCAUGCUGUUUAAUCAGCUUCUUGAUAUGCCACACCUGUCAGUUGGAUGGGUUAUCUUGGCAAAUAAUAAAUCCUCAAUAACAGGAAAGUAAAAAUUUGAGAGAAAUAAGCUUAUUGUGCAUAUGAAAAAUGUCUGGGAUCUUUUAUUUCUUAUCAGCACUCUAUACUCCUCUGUUAACUGGUCAUGUCUGUUUGCCUGUCGCUAGACCCACUGGUUGAUGCUUAAAUAUAAAACCCUCUUAGGCCUCACUCCCCCCUAUCUGAGAUAUCUACUGCAGUCAUCAUCCUCCACAUACAACACCCAUUCUGGCAGUCACAUUCUGUUAGAGGUCCCCACGGCACACACAUCCCUGGGUCACUCCUCUAUUCAGUUUGCUGCAGCUAGCGACUGGAAUGAGCUGCAACUAACACUCAAACUGGACAGUUUUAUCUCCAUCUCUUCAUUCAAAGACUCAAUCAUGGACACUCUUACUAACAGUUGUGGCUGCUUUGCGUGAUGUAUUGUAGUCUCUACCUUCUUGCCCUUUGUGCUGUUGUCUGUGCACAAUAAUGUUUGUACCAUGUUGUGCUGCUGCCAUGUUGUAUUGUCAUGUGUUGCUGCUAUGCUAUGUUGUCAUCUUAGGUUUCUCUUUAUGUAGUGUUGUGGUGUCUCUUGUCAUGUGUGUUUUGUCCUAGAUUUUUAUUUUAAAUCCCAGCCCCCGUCCCCACAGGAGGCCUUUUGGUAGGCCGUCAUUGUAAAUAAAUCUUGCCAAGUUAAAUAAGGUGAAAUAAAAUAAAAACUGAUUUAUUUCCGCUCAUGAAACAUGGGACCAACACUUUACAUGUUGAGUUUAUAUUUUUUUGUCAGUGUAAAUAAAAUGUAAUAUAUUAAAUAAAAAGUACUUCAAAGUAUGUAAUGGAGGGUCUUGUAUAUGUAUUUUAACUACCAAAUCAAUUCAAUCAAGCGUUGUACACAGCAGAAAUAACCGUUCUGUCCAAUUUCACAAACACAGACCUGGUAGGAGAUGAUAGCCAGAUCUGUUUGUUGGGAGUCUGUUUGUUGAUGACGUAUGUCCCAUGGUCUCCGCCCACCUUCACUGUCAACACACCACU